GGAGGGGGGCAUCUAAAAGGUCGAGAGACAGAGUAGCGAAGUGGAGAAGAGUUCGAUCGGCCUCGUCCCUCGCUCGUCGAUCCAUCGAUUCGCGAUUUCACUAUUUAGUGAUCGAUCGAUCGGUCCGUCUCCUUCGCUUUGGAUUACGUGUUCGACGAGACUUGCACGAACUUGAGCGUUUAUGAGCAUCACACGAAGGAUGUCAUCCAAGCGGCAGUCAAGGGAUUCGAUGUGGACUUGAUUGUUUGAAGCUUUCAACAAAUUGUGGGCAGAUCUCGAAGAGGCUGGUCUUGCUGUGAAGAAGGAAUCAUCUACAUCAAGACUACCAAGAUGACAGUGUGGUGGGGAGGUCAUAGAGCCACUCGUCGGUAAGCAGUGGUAUGUAGUCAUGGGGCCUUAGUGCACUGGAAAACGGGGAUAUAUCUAUCAUUCUUGAGAGGUUUGAAAAGGUACAUGUGCU